GCGGUGUGUCGCAAGUAGGGUGGCGUUUUCCUUCCCGAGUGGAAAGCUUGAGUGAGAGAGGACAUCGAGGUCCCGCUGGACCUGCAAUCCGACCAACUCUUUGCAGAUUUUCUGCCGCUUAAGUGUGAUGCCUGCUCAGGCAUCUUCUGCGCAGACCAUGUGGCCUACGCCCAGCAUCACUGUGGAUCUGCUUACCAAAAGGAUAUCCAGGUACCUGUGUGCCCUCUCUGUAAUGUGCCUGUGCCUGUGGCCAGAGGGGAGCCCCCUGACCGUGCUGUGGGAGAGCACAUUGACAGAGACUGUCGCUCUGAUCCAGCACAGCAAAAACGUAAGACUUGCUGCCAUCUCCAGAGCACAAGCUGUGGCUUCUACAAGCACCGUCCCCAGCCCAAGUCGAACCAUGCCUUCCUGUCCCUCUCCCAGCAGGUAGGCCUGCCCGUUUCCCUGCUCCCCCUUUUUCCCCUUCACACCUCUGACCUCCACCUCUUCAAUGUCUGUCGUAGAGCCACAACCCGAUCUCCGUCCUGGACAGCCCCUCCAGUGAUUGCUUUGCAGAAUGGCCUGAGUGAGGAUGAAGCUCUGCAGCGGGCCCUGGAAAUGUCCCUG
rnacentral:sRNA from 1 species